UACGUAGGGGGCUAGCGUUGUCCGGAAUCAUUGGGCGUAAAGAGCUCGUAGGCGGUUUGGCAAGUCGGGUGUGAAAACUCCGGGCUCAACUCGGAGACGCCACUCGAUACUGCUAUGACUCGAGUCCGGUAGGGGAGUGCGGAAUUCCUGGUGUAGCGGUGAAAUGCGCAGAUAUCAGGAGGAACACCGGUGGCGAAGGCGGCACUCUGGGCCGGUACUGACGCUGAGGAGCGAAAGCGUGGGGAGCGAACAGG
rnacentral:rRNA from 1 species